rnacentral:rRNA from 1 species
GUAGGUGGCAAGCGUUGUCCGGAGUUAUUGGGCGUAAAGCGCGCGCAGGCGGUUCUUUAAGUCUGAUGUGAAAGCCCACGGCUCAACCGUGGAGGGUCGUUGGAAACUGGAGAACUUGAGUACAGAAGAGGAAAGCGGAAUUCCACGUGUAGCGGUGAAAUGCGUAGAGAUGUGGAGGAACACCAGUGGCGAAGGCGGCUUUCUGGUCUGUAACUGACGCUGAGGCGCGAAAGCGUGGGGAGCAAACAGGGAUUAGAUACCCUGGUAGUCCACGCCGUAAACGAUGAGUGCUAAGUGUUAGGGGGGUUUCCGCCCCCUUAGUGCUGCAGCUAACGCAUUAAGCACUCCGCCUGGGGAUACGGCCGCAAGGCUG